UACGUAGGGACCAAGCGUUGUUCGGAUUUACUGGACGUAAAGGGCGCGUAGGCGGCAAUUCAAGUCAGCUGUGAAAUCUCCGAGCUUAACUCGGAACGGUCAGCUGAUACUGCUUUGCUAGAGUGCAGAAGGGGCAAUCGGAAUUCUUGGUGUAGCGGUGAAAUGCGCAGAUAUCAGGAGGAACACCGAUGGCGAAGGCAGCUCGCUGGGACGGUACUGACGCUGAGACGCGAAAGCGUGGGGAGCAAACAGG
rnacentral:rRNA from 1 species